GAUGAAGAACGUAGCGAAAUGCGAUAAGUAGUGUGAAUUGCAGAAUUUAGUGAAUCAUCGAAUCUUUGAACGCACAUUGCGCCCGCCAGCACUCUGGCGGGCAUGCCUGUUCGAGCGUCAUUUCAACCAUCAAGCCCCAGGCUUGCGUUGGAGCCCUGCGGCUGCCGCAGCCUCCUAAAAGCAGUGGCGGGCUCGCUAUCACACCGAGUGCAGUAGAUUACUCUUCGCUCAGGGCGUGCAGCGGGUUCCGGCCGUGAAACCCCCUACUUUUAAAGGUUGACCUCGGAUCAGGUAGGAAUACCCGCUGAACUUAAGCAUAUCAAUAAGCGGAGGA
rnacentral:misc_RNA from 1 species